ensembl:lncRNA
UCUAGGGCAGCAGUGGGGAUUGGUGGCACACGGCGGUGGGAGUGUUCUAGGGCAGCAGUGGGGAUUGGUGGCACAUGGUGGUGGGAGUGUUCUAGGGCAGCAGUGGGGAUUGGUGGCACACGGCGGUGGGAGUGUUCUAGGGCAGCAGUGGGGAUUGGUGGCACACGGAGGUGGGAGUGUUCUAGGGCAGCAGUGGGGAUUGGUGGUGUAAGGCGGUGGGAGUGUUCUAGGGCAGCAGUGGGGAUUGGUGGCACAUGGCGGUGGGAGUGUUCUAGGGCAGCAGUGGGGAUUGGUGGCACACGGCAGUGGGAGUGUUCUAGGGCAGCAGUGGGGAUUGGUGGCACAUGGAGGUGGGAGUGUUCUAGGGCAGCAGUGGGGAUUGGUGGCACACGGAGGUGGGAGUGUUCUAGGGCAGC